CUGGCUCAGGACGAACGCUGGCGGCGUGCUUAACACAUGCAAGUCGAACGAUGAAGCCCUUCGGGGUGGAUUAGUGGCGAACGGGUGAGUAACACGUGGGCAAUCUGCCCUUCACUCUGGGACAAGCCCUGGAAACGGGGUCUAAUACCGGAUAACACUCUGUCCCGCAUGGGACGGGGUUAAAAGCUCCGGCGGUGAAGGAUGAGCCCGCGGCCUAUCAGCUUGUUGGUGGGGUAAUGGCCUACCAAGGCGACGACGGGUAGCCGGCCUGAGAGGGCGACCGGCCACACUGGGACUGAGACACGGCCCAGACUCCUACGGGAGGCAGCAGUGGGGAAUAUUGCACAAUGGGCGAAAGCCUGAUGCAGCGACGCCGCGUGAGGGAUGACGGCCUUCGGGUUGUAAACCUCUUUCAGCAGGGAAGAAGCGAAAGUGACGGUACCUGCAGAAGAAGCGCCGGCUAACUACGUGCCAGCAGCCGCGGUAAUACGUAGGGCGCAAGCGUUGUCCGGAAUUAUUGGGCGUAAAGAGCUCGUAGGCGGCUUGUCACGUCGGAUGUGAAAGCCCGGGGCUUAACCCCGGGUCUGCAUUCGAUACGGGCUAGCUAGAGUGUGGUAGGGGAGAUCGGAAUUCCUGGUGUAGCGGUGAAAUGCGCAGAUAUCAGGAGGAACACCCGGUGGCGAAGGCGGAUCUCUGGGCCAUUACUGACGCUGAGGAG
rnacentral:rRNA from 1 species